UACAGAGGUCUCAAGCGUUGUUCGGAUUCAUUGGGCGUAAAGGGUGCGUAGGCGGCGUGGUAAGUCGGGUGUGAAAUCUCGGAGCUUAACUCCGAAACUGCAUUCGAUACUGCCGUGCUUGAGGACUGGAGAGGAGACUGGAAUUUACGGUGUAGCGGUGAAAUGCGUAGAUAUCGUAAGGAAGACCAGUGGCGAAGGCGGGUCUCUGGACAGUUCCUGACGCUGAGGCGCGAAGGCCAGGGGAGCAAACGGG
rnacentral:rRNA from 1 species